AGUCGAACGCUUCUUUUUCCACCGGAGCUUGCUCCACCGGAAAAAGAAGAGUGGCGAACGGGUGAGUAACACGUGGGUAACCUGCCCAUCAGAAGGGGAUAACACUUGGAAACAGGUGCUAAUACCGUAUAACAAUCAAAACCGCAUGGUUUUGAUUUGAAAGGCGCUUUCGGGUGUCGCUGAUGGAUGGACCCGCGGUGCAUUAGCUAGUUGGUGAGGUAACGGCUCACCAAGGCCACGAUGCAUAGCCGACCUGAGAGGGUGAUCGGCCACAUUGGGACUGAGACACGGCCCAAACUCCUACGGGAGGCAGCAGUAGGGAAUCUUCGGCAAUGGACGAAAGUCUGACCGAGCAACGCCGCGUGAGUGAAGAAGGUUUUCGGAUCGUAAAACUCUGUUGUUAGAGAAGAACAAGGAUGAGAGUAACUGUUCAUCCCUUGACGGUAUCUAACCAGAAAGCCACGGCUAACUACGUGCCAGCAGCCGCGGUAAUACGUAGGUGGCAAGCGUUGUCCGGAUUUAUUGGGCGUAAAGCGAGCGCAGGCGGUUUCUUAAGUCUGAUGUGAAAGCCCCCGGCUCAACCGGGGAGGGUCAUUGGAAACUGGGAGACUUGAGUGCAGAAGAGGAGAGUGGAAUUCCAUGUGUAGCGGUGAAAUGCGUAGAUAUAUGGAGGAACACCAGUGGCGAAGGCGGCUCUCUGGUCUGUAACUGACGCUGAGGCUCGAAAGCGUGGGGAGCAAACAGGAUUAGAUACCCUGGUAGUCCACGCCGUAAACGAUGAGUGCUAAGUGUUGGAGGGUUUCCGCCCUUCAGUGCUGCAGCUAACGCAUUAAGCACUCCGCCUGGGGAGUACGACCGCAAGGUUGAAACUCAAAGGAAUUGACGGGGGCCCGCACAAGCGGUGGAGCAUGUGGUUUAAUUCGAAGCAACGCGAAGAACCUUACCAGGUCUUGACAUCCUUUGACCACUCUAGAGAUAGAGCUUCCCCUUCGGGGGCAAAGUGACAGGUG
rnacentral:rRNA from 1 species